GGGAGACAGAACAUGAAAGACUCCUAACUCUGGGAAAUGAACUAGGGGUGGUGGAAGGGGAGGUGGGCGGGGGUUGGUGGUGGGGGUGACUGGGUGGCGGGCUCUGAGGUGGGCACUUGAUGGGAUGAGCCCUCGGUGUUAUUCUGUAUGCUGACAAAUUGAACACCAAUAAAAAAUAAAUUUAUUAAAAAGAAAAGAAAGGAAAUACUUGAACUGGUUCAGAAUAUUAAGAAAGGGAAUCAAAAGGUACAGGGAGGAGGUUACAAUGAAUUUUUCCCCAAGAUCAGAGAACCUCCCACCUAAAUAAGGAGGUAGUGUCCUCUGGGCUCUUCUAAGAGACAAGGCAAUAAAAGAAUCCAUUAGGGAGACAACAUCAUUGGUAAAUGGUCUUUUAUAAUUAAAGUUUGACAGGAGAUGCUGCUACGCAAUUAGGUUUCUAGCAUCAGUGAGGAUAGGAGGAUUAUACACUGGUCAGGAGGCAGCAUUUUACCUCCUGACUUCACAUCUGAUGGUAAUUGCUGUAACAAACAGCAAGGUCUAAGUGGUCCUCAGGAUAUCUUAAUCCACAGAGAUCUGUGGCACUGGCUAAUCCAUGGCAUUUUAGAGGGGAAAUAGAUGGGCAAUAAAGGUAUUUCCUCAUUCAUACAACUAGAAAAAGUGUUUAAGGGCUAAAAAUUAAGUCUGAUGUCAGUAUUAUAAUGAAAGUCUAUGCAAUUUUCAGGUCUCAGCCAUAGGUAAUAUUUGAGAAGGAGUCUUCUUGAGCAAAGGCCUACAAUAUCAUCAAAAAAGCCUGUCAGUAAAAGAUGAGCAAACUGUUGCCACAAGACAAUGUCUUUUUUUCAUGCUGUUACAACAGCUGGGAUGGACAGAAAUCUUGACAUCCUCCAGAACACUGGUCUACUGUCUUGGUAACAAUGCUAACUGGACCCAGUGAACAGGAGUAGCCCUAUAAAGGCAGAUAAGCCCUAUAAAGACAUGAGAUUACUACAUUAAUAAGUCCUAAGGGGUAUAAUACUCUGGAGGCAAGCUGGAAUAUCCUUCCUAAGGUAAAAUACAACUCUUUUAUUUUGACCACCUACUACUAAGAAGCACAGCACUUAGAUUUGAGAGAUCACGUGCACUAUUCUUAGCUUUCCUCCCCAU
rnacentral:lncRNA from 12 species